GUGUCAGCAGCCGCGGUAAUACCAGCUCUCCGAGUGGUGGGGAUGAUUAUUGGGCCUAAAGCAUCCGUAGCCGGCUGGACAAGUCCCCUGUUAAAUCCAACGAUCCAAUCGUUGGUCUGCGGGGGAUACUGUCCGGCUUGGGGGCGGGAGAGGCCGCCGGUAUUUCCGGGGUAGGGGUGAAAUCCUAUAAUCCCGGGAGGACCACCAGUGGCGAAGGCUGUCGGCUAGAACGCGCCCGACGGUGAGGGAUGAAAGCUGGGGGAGCGAACCGGAUUAGAUACCCGGGUAGUCCCAGCCGUAAACGAUGCAGGCUAGGUGUUAGGGCGGCUACGUGCCGCUCUAGUGCCGCAGGGAAGCCGUUAAGCCUGCCGCCUGGGGAGUACGGUCGCAAGGCUGAAACUCAAAUGAAUUGACGGGG
rnacentral:rRNA from 1 species